rnacentral:rRNA from 1 species
UCAAGAAUAUUAGUCAAUGCUCGCAAGAGUGAACUAGCUAACUGAAAUCAUUUGUGUGUCACAAGUGAUGUCGUAAGGGAAAAUAAUGAUAUUACCUUACUAAUAGUGUCGUCAAAAGCUGGUGCCAGAAGACUCGGUAAGACCAGAGACGCAAACGUUAAUCAUCUUAAUCAGGCGUAAAGGGUUUGUAGGCUGCUUUGAAAAUUUUAAAUUUAUAUAGCUUAAAGUAAAUUUAAAAUCAAUUAAAGCUAGAAUCAAAUAGAGGUUAUAUUGAAUAAUACUUAGAGGAGGGAUUAAAUCCUUAGAUCCUAAGGGGAAUACUUAAGGCGAAAGCAUUUUACCACUACUGAUUGACGCUGAGAAACGAAGGUGAGGAUAGGAAAUAGGAUUAGAUACCCCGGUACCCCUCUCAGUCAACGAUGAAUGGUAAUUUCUAGUUACAAAAUUAGAAAUGAUGUUAACACGUUAACCAUUCCGCCUUGUGAGUACGAUUGCAAAAUUGAAAACAAAAAAAUUAGUCGGUCUCGGAGCAAACGAAGUGAAGCAUGUUAUUUAAUCGAUAAAU